UAGUUCGGAUCGUAGGCUGCAACUCGCCUACAUGAAGCUGGAAUUGCUAGUAAUCACAGGUCAGCAUACUGUGGUGAAUACGUUCCCGGGCCUUGUACACACCGCCCGUCACACCAUGAGAGUUGAGAAUACCCGAAGUCCAUGUCAAAGUGGCCGAAGGUAGGCUUGAUGAUUGGGGUGAAGUCGUAACAAGGUAAC
rnacentral:rRNA from 1 species